rnacentral:rRNA from 1 species
GCCAGGGAACUACGAGCAAAGCUUAAAACCCAAAGGACUUGACGGUGCCCCAUAUCCCCCUAGAGGAGCCUGUCCUAUAACCGAUGAUCCCCGUUUAACCUCACCAUUUCUAGCUAAUCAGCUUGUAUACUUCCGUCGCCAGCUUACCACGUGAGCGAAACUCAGUUAGCUCAACUGGCUUACUUAUUUAUCAACACCGCCAGUACGUCAGGUCGAAGUGCAGCAAAUGAAGUGGAAAGAGAUUGGCUACACUUUUUAACUUAAAAAACAACGAAAGGCAAAUAAUGAAACUUUGUCAGAAGGCGGAUUUAGCAGUAAAAAGAAUUCAUUAUAUUCAUUUUAAGUCGGCACUGGAGCGUGU